UACGGGGGGGGCAAGCGUUGUUCGGAAUUACUGGGCGUAAAGGGCGCGUAGGCGGCCUUCUAAGUCGGACGUGAAAUCCCUCGGCUUAACCGAGGAACUGCGUCCGAUACUGAAAGGCUUGAAUCCGGGAGAGGGAUGUGGAAUUCCAGGUGUAGCGGUGAAAUGCGUAGAUAUCUGGAGGAACACCGGUGGCGAAGGCGGCAUCCUGGACCGGUAUUGACGCUGAGGUGCGAAAGCGUGGGGAGCAAACAGG
rnacentral:rRNA from 1 species